rnacentral:tRNA from 1 species
GGUGCUGUGGCUUAGUUGGUUUAAGCACCUGUCUAGUCAACAGGAGAUCUUGGGUUCAAAUCCAGUGCCU